GACGAACGCUGGCGGCGUGCUUAACACAUGCAAGUCGAACGGAAAGGCCCUGCUUUUGUGGGGUGCUCGAGUGGCGAACGGGUGAGUAACACGUGAGUAACCUGCCCUUUACUUUUGGAUAACUUCAGGAAACUGGGGCUAAUACCGGAUAGGAGCUCCUGCUGCAUGGUUGGGGUUGGAAAGUUUCGGCGGUUGGGGAUGUACUCGCGGCUUAUCAGCUUGUUGGUGUGGUAGUGGCUUACCAAGGGUUUGACGGGUAGCCGGCCUGGGAGGGUGACCGGCAACAUGGGGACUGAGAUACGGCCCAGAAUCGUACGGGAGGCAGCAGGGGGGAAUAUUGCAGAAUGGGCGGAAGCCAGAGGCAGAAACGCCGCGUGCGGGAUGACGGCCUUCGGGUUGUAAACCGCUUUCGCAGGUGACGAAGCGUGAGUGACGGUAAUGGGUAAAGAAGCACCGGCUAACUACGUG
rnacentral:rRNA from 1 species